rnacentral:rRNA from 1 species
CCUACGGGUGGCUGCAGUGGGGAAUUUUGGACAAUGGGGGCAACCCUGAUCCAGCCAUGCCGCGUGAGUGAAGAAGGCCUUCGGGUUGUAAAGCUCUUUCGGCCGGGAAGAAAUCGCUCAAGCUAAUACCUUGGGUGGAUGACGGUACCGGAAGAAGAAGCACCGGCUAACUACGUGCCAGCAGCCGCGGUAAUACGUAGGGUGCGAGCUGUGCUCGGAAUUACUGGAGGUAAAGCCUUCGCAGGCGUGUGAAAUCCCCGGGCUUAAGCUGGGAACUGCGUUUGUGACUGUGGUGCUCGAGUGCGGCAGAGGGGGGUGGAAUUCCACGUGUAGCAGUGAAAUGCGUAGAGAUGUGGAGGAACACCGAUGGCGAAGGCAGCCCCCUGGGUCGACACUGACGCUCAUGCACGAAAGCGUGGGGAGCAAACAGGAUUAGAUACCCCUGUAGUC